AUUGAACGCUGGCGGCAUGCCUUACACAUGCAAGUCGAACGGCAGCACGGGAGCAAUCCUGGUGGCGAGUGGCGAACGGGUGAGUAAUAUAUCGGAACGUGCCCGGUCGUGGGGGAUAACGUAGCGAAAGCUACGCUAAUACCGCAUACGAUCUACGGAUGAAAGCGGGGGGAUCGCAAGACCUCGCGCGAUUGGAGCGGCCGAUAUCAGAUUAGGUAGUUGGUGAGGUAAAGGCUCACCAAGCCGACGAUCUGUAGCUGGUCUGAGAGGACGACCAGCCACACUGGGACUGAGACACGGCCCAGACUCCUACGGGAGGCAGCAGUGGGGAAUAUUGGACAAUGGGCGAAAGCCUGAUCCAGCAAUGCCGCGUGAGUGAUGAAGGCCUUAGGGUUGUAAAGCUCUUUUACCCGAGAUGAUAAUGACAGUAUCGGGAGAAUAAGCUCCGGCUAACUCCGUGCCAGCAGCCGCGGU
rnacentral:rRNA from 1 species